rnacentral:rRNA from 1 species
ACAGGGAUUAGCCCAGCACCGAAGCCUUUGGCUUUUUGGCCUUUAGGCAAUGUGGUGUUCAGGUCGUCUCAUGGAGUUGCUGCCCCACCCUAAGUCCUACAAUGAGUAAGGUUACUCGGACGUGGCCCACAGAGGGUGAAAGGCCCGUGGGGGUGGGGACUGACUGGCCAGCUUCUCCCUGAUUGGACCUUGGAGUCAGGUUGUUUGUGAAUGCAGCCCAAAGUGGGUGGUAAACUCCAUCCAAGGCUAAAUACUAACACGAGUCCGAUAGCGAACAAGUACCGUGAGGGAAAGUUGAAAAGUACUUUGAAGAGAGAGUAAACAGUGCGUGAAACCGCUCAGAGGUAAACGGGUGGAGUUGAACUGCAAACUUUGGGAAUUCAGCUGGUGAGCGUGGCUUGAGCUUGGUCAAAUUGGUCGGCCUCCUGGGUCUGCUUAGCUGCAGGUCUCUGCCUUCGGGUAGGGAUGCGCGUUGCACUUAUCAUGUGUUGUGCGCCUAGGGGUGCUGCGGGCCUGUUUGCCAGUGCACUUUCUCUCAGUUAUCACCACGACCGGCGUUGCCAUCUGGCUGUUGUGGUCACACCGGCCUUGCAAGACUCUCGUGGUUUUGCUUGGUCGGGACGGCAGGUAGCUCGCUGUCCGCUUGUCGGGCUCUGGGUGUAACCGCCGGCUGCAUCAGUUCUGUGUGGUAUGUCGGAGACGGCGGCUUGUUGUGUGCGCGCGUGCCUGUUUCGCUCGCGGUGCCGGGUCUGGUUGUUAUGUUACCUGUUUUUACAGGGGUGGUGAUGUCCCGGUAUCGUUUGGUGGGCGGUUGCGUGUGCAUCACUUCAUAGGGCCAACAGUCUGUGGUGUAGUGGUAGACUAUCCACCUGACCCGUCUUGAAACACGGACCAAGGAGAGUAACAUGCGCGCGAGUCAUUGGGCGGUACGAAACCCAAAGGCGCAGUGAAAGUAAAGGUUCGGCUUGUCCGGACUAAGGUGAGAUCCUGUCGUUUCCCAUGCGUGGUACCACCAAGCUUCGAGCGUCAGGCGCAUCACCGGCCCGUCCCAUGGCGUAGACGCAGCCUUGUGCUAACGCACCGCCGGGGCGGAGCAUGAGCGUGCAUGUUGAGACCCGAAAGAUGGUGAACUAUGCUUGCGCAGGUUGAAGCCAGAGGAAACUCUGGUGGAGGACC